UACGGGGGGGGCAAGCGUUGUUCGGAAUUACGUGGCGUAAAGGGCUCGUAGGCGGCCAACUAAGUCAGACGUGAAAUCCCUAGGCUCAACCUAGGAACUGCGUCUGAUACUGGAUGGCUUGAAUCCGGGAGAGGGAUGCGGAAUUCCAGGUGUAGCGGUGAAAUGCGUAGAUAUCUGGAGGAACACCGGUGGCGAAGGCGGCAUCCUGGACCAAUAUUGACGCUGAGGAGCGAAAGCCAGGGGAGCAAAGCGGG
rnacentral:rRNA from 1 species